GAUGAACGCUGGCGGCGUGCCUAAUACAUGCAAGUCGAGCGAACGGACGAGGAGCUUGCGUCUCGGAUGUUAGCGGCGGACGGGUGAGUAACACGUGUAUAACCUACCUAUAAUACUGGUAUAACUUCGGGAAACCGGAGCUAAUACCGGAUAAUAUUUUGAACCGCAUGGUUCAAAAGUGAAAGUCGGUCUUUCGGUCACGUAUAGAUGGAUCCGCGCUGCAUUAGCUGGUUGGUAAGGUAACGGGUUACCAAGGGAACGAUGCGUAGACGACCGGAGAGAGUGAUAGGCCACACUGGAGCUGGACCACGGUCCUGGCUACUGCGGGACGCACCAGAAGGGAACGUGCGGCAAUGGGCGAAAGCAUUACGGAGCAACGGCGCGUGAGUGAUGACGGUCUCCGGAGCGUAAAAAUGUGUUACGAGGGAAGAACAUAUGUGGACGGAACUGUGGACAGCUUGACGGUACCUAAUCAGAAAGCCCCGGCUAACUACGUG
rnacentral:rRNA from 1 species